UACGGGGGGGGCAAGCGUUGUUCGGAAUUACUGGGCGUAAAGGGCUCGUAGGCGGCCAACUAAGUCAGACGUGAAAUCCCUCGGCUUAACCGGGGAACGGCCUCUGAUACUGGCUGGCUGGAGUUCGGGAGAGGGAUGCGGAAUUCCAGGUGUAGCGGUGAAAUGCGUAGAUAUCUGGAGGAACACCGGUGGCGAAGACGGCAUCCUGGACCGACACUGACGCUGAGGAGCGAAAGCCAGGGGAGCAAACAGG
rnacentral:rRNA from 1 species